UACGAAGGGGGCUAGCGUUGCUCGGAAUUACUGGGCGUAAAGGGCGCGUAGGCGGAUAGUUUAGUCAGAGGUAAAAGCCCAGGGCUCAACCUUGGAACUGCCUUUGAUACUGGCUAUCUUGAGUACGGGAGAGGUGUGUGGAACUCCGAGUGUAGAGGUGAAAUUCGUAGAUAUUCGGAAGAACACCAGUGGCGAAGGCGACACACUGGCCCGUUACUGACGCUGAGGCACGAAAGCGUGGGGAGCAAACAGG
rnacentral:rRNA from 1 species